rnacentral:misc_RNA from 1 species
UCACGGUACCAACAAUUUCAUGCCUGUAAAAAAGAAGUUACAACUACUAUCUUUGCACAUAUGCAUCUAAGGAACCAUUCAAGCAAUCAGAAACACUUUGGCAGUUCAACAUACGUUAUGAAAAAAGUGUAGCACUUUAGCUUCUAUGUAUGUAUAGCUGCUACAUAUAAUCUGAAGCUUGUUUUAGUUGGGAAGCAAUUCAAGAAUUAGUUGCUUAUAUACGGUGUAGAAGGCCAUAACGCAUAAGUUAUCUCAUAAAAGGCCUCAUACAGUGCAAAUGUUUAACUAUUUAACAGCUUAUAUACAGAGAAGAAGUAAGCUGGUUAGUAUGAAUUCAUAAAAUCACAUUCUUACACGUGUCCAGGAAAGAAUUUAGGCCUCAAAACUUAUAAUAUGGGGCUUCUCUUCAGCAAAUAAUGAACAAGCCCCACAACGUUCUAUUUUCUGAUCAAGGAAUGGCCUAGUUAGCCGUUCACGUCUCUAUAAAGGAAAAGAAAUAGAAGUUCUAUGACCCUCUAUUUAAUUUACAACUAGAAACCACCAAAUGGACAAAAAACACAGUAGACAAAUAAGAAUUCAACAGACUGUAAACAGAUUUUCCACACUAUUGGAAUUUAGAAAAUGCAAACCAUGAAUCCAGCAAUUUGUGAGUUUUAUUUAUUUAUUUAUUUUAAGAUGGGACAAGUUGUCAAAUUUUUAGUAGAAUUUAGGGAGAACUUACAAAUACUUGAAAACAUCAAUGAUUGGUUGUGAUCAGGAUGCUUCAGAAUCACUGCUUUUUUGGCCAAGUUAGUGGUUGAUUAAAGGAGUGUAACUGCCAACAAGUUCUUGCAAGCAAAGUACAAAAAUGAAAUGGGGACUGUGCUUUGUAGGAUUCGAAAGUUCAAGCAACUUGAUUGCUGCCAUGGCAUCCUCUUGUUUAUGUGCACAGACUAGGAUCUCGAGCCUCUCAUUACAUUGAGCAUACUGUAUGCAUUUUUUCUUAUAGCCUAUGUAAUGCUUAUUAGGAUCAUAGAGCAACUUGAUUAGGGGUGGUGCAUAUGUUGUCAAUAGAAAUAUCAAAAAAAAAAAUCCCACUAGUACUGUCCAGAUCCUUUAACUGCAAGGAGAAAAGGAGACAAAUAAGAAAGAGUGAGUUCACUUGUUUAUAUACAUACACAUAACACUAAGUACACUAGGAAUUAAUCUUUAAGUCCAACAUGAAUAUCAGUAUAGGUACAGGCAAUGAACCAGAGGCAUUCAAUAAUUUUGCAAUGAGAAGUUCUAGCAGCAAUUGCGUUGCCCGCGACUAACAUUAUGUUAGGGUAAGAGUCUCUAACAAAGAAUUAUAGAAGAUUUAGAAAAGAAGAGAAGAAGAAGAUUAGAAGGGAAGAUAGAAAGAAGAGAAGAUUAGAGAGUUGUAUUUCUUGAUUAUUGUUCCAGAAUGAAAAUACAAGAAUAGCUAUUGAGCUUUAUAUAGCAGCUUAGUAACAACCUAUUGCUAAGAGUAGUUAAACAGCUCAACAACUUUACUGCUCAGCAACUUUAGUAACUACCUCUCUCUUAAUUCCCGCCAAACAUACUUCCAAGCUAACUCUUUAAACUAACUCCCAACGUUUCUAACUACUCACUAUUUCUUUCUAUACUUCCUCCUCUGAUACGUAACACAUUACUACUUGUUAUUUCUCAACAUAAAAUAGAAUGGUGAGAUUGAUUAGUUUGAUGCAUAUAAGUACCUCAAGAAUAGUGUAGCUCAAAAAUGUUCCCAUCUCCUUUGUGCCUUUAACAUUCAAAAUUUUAGAGUAAGAGCAGCAGCUUCUCUGAAAGGCAUGUUGAUAGAGAGUACCAUGAGAUAAGUUGCUGCCAACUUUAUUAUGUACCCUAUUAAGGCCAUUUGAAAAUUGAGAGCAUCUUCAAAAUGGUCUACUAAUACCCAUAGAUUAAAUUUGGAGGCACAGAAACUAGACAGCAGGGGAAUGAGCAAGCCAUAGACAACAGUAUCAAGCUUAGAUGUUAAGGUUGUUGCUAAUGGAGACCUUGCUGGGAUUAACAAGCCAAAAAGAAAAGGACCCCAAAGAUAUUCCAAUCCAUAUUCUCACCCAAUGAUGCCAAAUCUAAAACAACUACAACUAUGAAAUGAAUGUAAAUAUCCUUAAUAGGUUCCCCUUCUGGGGUCACUCUAAUGAACCAUAAGGUCAGUAUUCUCAAGAAUACAAUCAACAUGAGAAAGAAAAUGGAAGAAGAGCAGACUGAAAUCCAAGUCUUGGUGAUACUGGAGUAAAAAUUCUGGCACCAAGAUACCAGAGAUUUUAGCUAACAAAUCUUGCGAUAUCACCAAGUAAUGAAUGUUGAGAGCUACCUGGGCCUUAUCUUUCAUUUAGUAAUGGAGGUAUGUCGGUAGUCUUUAAGUGCGGUCCAAAAGUAGGUAAAUUUUUUCGAGUUCCAUCGUUGUUGCAUCAAAUUACAAAUUAUCUCUAGUGAGGCCGGAUAUGAAGGUGGAAGCCGAUUGCAUGAGUGGAGAUAUAGAAAUUUGAGCUGCAAUUCUCACAGCUUAAGUAAGAAUUGGGUGCUUAUGGGUUAUUCUUGAUUUCCAUAUGUGAUAUUAUUUCCUGUUAUUGAAUCCAUAGCUAUUGGGGUAACUGAUAUUGAUUUGUGAGAAUUUUGUUGGUUUGAAUUUGAAGUUUUGCUUGUCUUUUGGCUUUAAUCUGGCUUGUUUUUAUUAAUUCUUCAAUGUUGAAUACUAAUUUCAUGAAGGUUAUUUGUGAUAUGAAUUGAUUUGAGUUUUUCUAAACCUUAAGGAGUGCAGUUGUUUUUGGUAAAAACUUUUUUACUCUAUUCGUAAUAUGUUAGUUGCAUUGUUCUCUUGUUUUAGGUUUCAAGAUGGUUAAAAAUACUGCAUGGAGAUGUCUUGAUAAAAUUGGAGUUUUUAUACCAAGAGAAUUCUUAGUACUAGGAAUUGUAAAUCUACUGUGAAUUCUUUAUUGGGUGUUUUUUAUUCGCUGUACUCGGAAACUUCAACAAUGCCAAUAACAGAGAUUGGUGCAUCUGACCACAUAGUUCUGAGAAAUAUGAUUUGGAAGUUUAAGCUGCUGAAAAGGGAUUACAAACUCAACUGAAAUUCCCAAAGCAGAUAUGAUCGUAGGAUCUAAUUACUCUGCUUUCUCAUCUGGAAUCUGACAACCAACCUCGCAAGCUUCCCCUAAAUGCCCGAGGAC